CAAUCUAUGUAUUCUAACAUUCAUGGUAGCGAGCUAACAACGCCUGCGUUGCCACCCGCAAACACACUCAUCAUUACAUAGCGUUUAGACUGUCAACAGGUUACAAAUUCAAUACAAAUUCAAGAAUAGAAACGGUUCAAUACAAGCGUAUACUAAGGUUGCUCGCGUUGGUAUAGCCACAAAUUUAAGAUACGCUAAUAUAAAAAAUUCAUUAAAUAUAUAUAAUCCAACAAUUGAGCGACGUGAAGGUUAAUUGUUAUAAAAGGUAAGUUACUAUAAAAAUUCAUUCAAUAUACGUAUACAUGUAAUCCAACGAUUGAGUGACGGCGAAGUUAGGUGUUAUCAAAGCGGCCGCAGUGCUCGCUUGCACAUUCUGCCGGCCCUAGCCGCGUUAAGCGGAUAGUGCUUCUUUCAACUCCUGGAGAGUUCUGAGCGCCUUAUGCACUAGUAAUUUGGUGACCUUGCCUCGAUAUGUUGCUGUUUGCAGUCCAUUUGCCGUUUGUCUGAUUUUACGGUUCGCCACGUUCGUAGCCGUUGAAGGGUGCUUGUUGCGAGUUGGGGUGCGCCCUGAUCCCCCACGUUGGGAAGCAUGUCGCAUCGGCGGCACAAGUCGUUUGGGGUUCUGCGACGCGGCGUGCGAGCUAGCGCGGCAACCUGCCGAGGUACUGUUUCGGUGCAAGAGGGUGUGGUGCUGUAGCGAGCAAACUCUACAUUUACCCGCCGAUGUGCAU